ACAGGAAUGGAAAUGGGAACAUGAAUGGGAACAGGAACAGGCACAGGGACGGGAAUGGGAAUGGGUGUGGGAACGGGCAUGGAAAUGCACAGGGAAUGGGGACGGGAACGGGUACGGGGGCUGAGCAGUGGUGGCCGGCAGGGGAGGGCAGGGGACACAGGUGAGAACAGGGGAGGGCAGGGGUGGGUAUCCACGGGGACAGAGUGGGGUGCCCCGGGGCUGUCCAGGUGAGGGUGUUCAGGGGGGUGUGUCCAGGUGGGUGUGUCCAGGUGGGGCUGUCCAGGUGGGGCUGUCCAGGUGGGGCUGUCCCAGGGGUACCCAGGUGGGUGUGUCUAGGUGGGUGUGCCCAGGGGGGGAUGCCAGCUGGAGGUGUCCAGGUGAGGGUGCCCAGGUGGGGCUGUCCCAGGGGUGUCCAGGUGGGUGUGUCCAGGUGGGGCUGUCCCAGGGGUGUCCAGGUGGGUGUGUCCAGGUGGGUGUGCCCAGGUGGGGCUGUCCAGGUGGGUGUGCCCAGGUUGGGCUGUCCCAGGGGUGCCCAGGUGGGUGCCCAGGUGCGCUCCAGCCCUGACCCUGCCCCGUGUCCCUCUCGUGCUGCAGAGAAGGCCGAUGGCACAGCCGUGGACAUCUUCUCCUUCGGGAUGUGCGCCCUGGAGAUGGCCGUGCUGGAGAUCCAGACCAACGGGGACACGCGGGUGUCAGAGGAGGCGAUCGCGCGGGCGCGGCACUCCCUGGAUGACCCCAACAUGAGGGUGAGGGCAGCAGGGGGAGCCUGCUGGGGACAGUCCUGUGUCACUGCUGGGGACAAUCCCUGUCCUGUGUCACUGCUGGGGACAGUCCUGUGUCACUGCUGGGGACAGUCCCUGUC